GUAGGUAUAGUAUAAAUAAAACGCUAAGCUGCAACCUUAGAGAAGCGGACCUUUCGCUACCUGCU
rnacentral:tRNA from 1 species